rnacentral:lncRNA from 1 species
UUUUUUUUUUUCUUUCUUUAGGAUUCCACCCUGCUGGAGCCUCGAGCGUCCGCCUGCCUCCCAGCUCGCCGGCGUGGGGACCGGGAGCCUUCUUCGUGCUGGGCGGGUUGGCUCCCGAGUGGGGGCCCGGGGCUCCUAGGCCUCGAUCUCGUCUCUCUGGGAGACCCUGCGUCUGGGUGUGGGGCGAAGUCGUGCCAAGCUCGGGCUCCAGGCUAGCAACCUGUGCCCGUAGCCCCCCGCGCGCCCCCAGCCGUGGGUGCGGCGGGCUUGGGGGUUGUCUUUGUACUUCUUUAGAAGACGGGAGCAAGCGGUGGGGACGAGACCCGCUGUAAGGCCCUGCCGAGGUCUUCCCACACGCCGGGAACUCGAGGUGGAAAGGUCCGCUCCCUCCAGGUCCCGCCACUCCACAUGCCCAGCCAGGAGACCACCACGGAAUUUGCCCCAAGUUGGUUGGUUUGUGGCCUAUUCUGUUUUUAUUUUGUCUAGGAUUAGCGGGGUUUGAAAUUUUUGUGGCCAGCCCUACUACCCCGGGGCUUCAACUUUCAAACCAACAAGUCACCGGGUACGUUCCGGCGAAACUGGAUCUCCCGGUGCGCUGCUGGGACGCGUGCUGGGAAUAGAAACGAAAUCCUGCUCGCAGGGCGCCGGGCGGACUCCUGGGCCUGGGGUUGCAGGGCCGUUUCCGAACCCCGCGGGAUGGGGCUAGAAGUCGGCCUUGACCCCGCCAGGGUCACGGCCAGCACUUCGCCUUGAUCUUUGCACGUGCCGGUGAUGAUCCUGCGAUCCCUGGCCUCGGACGCUGCCUGCCCCCAAGCGACGUCCGCAGCUGCUAACGCCUUCCGCGGGGCUGCGCCUACGUGCCCAGAUCAGAAUCAGGUUUGCUGCUCCAGGUUAGGAGCACGCCGGUUACCUCGUGUGACCCGGGACUUGCGACGUCCGCCCAAAUCCAGGCUGGCUACCAGCGCCCCCGCCUCCCAGAGUCUCGGGAGCCCCGCGCCCCACAGCAUUCUCUCUUUCCAAACUCUGGGCCAACACGUGUCCCCGCGCUGCCUCCUUCCUUCCUUCCUUCGCCGCACGUCCCAGAGGCCUCACUCGGACUGGGCCCGCCAGGAUGUAAGGUCGCAUCUCCUUGCCCCCCACCCCCCACCCCAGAACCCCACCCGGGCUUGCCCCUGCCAGCCUUGGCCCACGUUGUCACCAAAGGUCGUGUCGGAGAGGGGGGCGACCGGAAAGGUGGGGUUUCUGGGCCCUUCAAGUGGCACCCUAGCAGGAGCAACACUUCUAGCCAGGGUGGCGGGAGGGACACCUAUGGCUGCUUUGGAGGACGGGGAGGUGCGCGAAAGCCAAGAGGAGAAAAAUAUGGUAGAGGUGACUACGUUGUGGGUGUAAGCAGCUUGCUUCUUAACUCCUCACCCCACCACCCCCAAACCCGAGCGGCUGACAAAAUUGUCUAUCUUUUCUUUUAAAUACCAAACUCCCAGAGGGUGGGGCGGAGCUGAGGGCACGCGGCUCCCCCAGAGCCAGCCUGUACCCAGCAACUGUGGCAGCCGCACUUUCCAGGGCAGACGCCUUACACUUCGAUCUGUGUUUGCUUCCAAUAUAAAGGAUCCGGUUCACAAAGGGGCACCCACUUCCAUCCCCCCCCCCCCACCUCCACCCCUGUGAACCCUUCCUAGAACCUCAAGCACUUGGAUCCUGUGUAUUGAUGUUUAAUUUUCUGGCACCCUAGCUUGCCCUGAGAGAUUUUAAGAGGGCAAGGAGAAGAUCAAGUUAGGAUUAAGAAAAGAAGACUGGGCGUUCUUUUAGGGGGAGGGCUAGAGAUGAAUUCAAAAUCGAAUGUGGAUGAAUUUGGAAGUGUUCUGAGAUUUCAUUUCCUUCAGAAGCUGUCUGCUUUAGACCAAAACUUACUGGAAUUAUUAUGAAGCUGGGAGUCUGUGGGACAAGACGAUCAAAGAGGCUUGCCGGACAUCCCUUAACCCAACCCUCUCCUCCAAAGCUCUAAGCUCAGCUUAGUGACAUAAGUACCAUCCAACACUGGCACUGGGCUGCCUCAGUGUGUUCAUGGAGGGUUCCUUCAGGGAUGCCAAGGCCCAGAGGGUGAUGCAGGAUGGGGUGGGCUCCCCAAGGCCGAAGGACAGUAUCUGUCCUCUGGGAUGGAGCCUGGAAGGGAACUACAGGAAACAGGCCUGAGUGGGAGGCCUAGGAGGCCUCCAGUGCCUUGCCAGUGUCAGGGGAGGGAUGACCCAGCCACCCCUCCUCCUGCAAAGCCCCUCUGCUGAUGGUUAUUUAAAGCCUCAAGCUGAUAUUCCUCAUCUUGAUGCCUAGGUUAAGAAAGAAAGAAAGAAAGAAAGAAAGAAAGAAAGAAAGAAAAGAAAGAAAGAAAGAAAGAAAAAAAGAAAGAAAGAAAAGGGUAGAACAUGUACCAAGGUUUGGAGUUAUUUAUGUAGGUUCUCCAUUUACUUUUAUUUGUAGGGUUUUCUUCUUUUUUGUUAUUCCUUCCCUCUUUCCCUGCAGUGUUGGCAACCCUGGAGGACGAGACUUAGGGGGAAGGGUAAACUUGACCUGUUUAUUCUUGUUAACCAGUCACAGAAACAGGAUAAAUACUAACUCUCCAUACUUACUACGGUCUUUUAAAAUCUGUACACAUACAUAGCCAGUUAGGUGGAAAUGGUUGGGACUAAGGCAUCUCUAAACAUCGAACUGGUAAACUAGCUAAUCCUGUCCCUUUAAGAAAAAUCCAUAAAGCUCUUCCAUCAGCCCAGUGUCUGGGAAAGGAGCAAACUAACUGCUUGGAACAAAAGAGACAAAGAGGCCAAACAACAAAACAAACAAACAACUCCCUUUCCCCCCUCCAGACAACAAUAGACUAGACGCAGCAAGUGCAGUGACUGCCCGGCCGGCUGCUGCUGUCCACCUGCCAAGUCUCCCGCAUUUGGCUGGAGACUUUCCCUCUCGCCCC